rnacentral:rRNA from 1 species
UUAGGCUAGAAUAGGUGAGAGGAAGGUAGAAUUCCAGGUGUAGCGGUGAAAUGCGUAGAGAUCUGGAGGAAUACCGAUGGCGAAGGCAGCCUUCUGGCAUCAUAUUGACACUGAGGUUCGAAAGCGUGGGUAGCAAACAGGAUUAGAUACCCUGGUAGUCCACGCCGUAAACGAUGUCUACUAGUCGUUGGGUCCCUUGAGGACUUAGUGACGCAGCUAACGCAAUAAGUAGACCGCCUGGGGAGUACGGCCGCAAGGUUAAAACUCAAAUGAAUUGACGGGGGCCCGCACAAGCGGUGGAGCAUGUGGUUUAAUUCGAUGCAACGCGAAGAACCUUACCUGGUCUUGACAUAUCUAGAAUCCUGCAGAGAUGCGGGAGUGCCUUCGGGAAUUAGAAUACAGGUGCUGCAUGGCUGUCGUCAGCUCGUGUCGUGAGAUGUUGGGUUAAGUCCCGCAACGAGCGCAACCCUUGUCCUUAGUUACCAGCGGGUUAAGCCGGGAACUCUAAGGAUACUGCCAGUGACAAACUGGAGGAAGGCGGGGACGACGUCAAGUCAUCAUGGCCCUUACGACCAGGGCUACACACGUGCUACAAUGGUAGGUACAGAGGGCAGCUACACAGCGAUGUGAUGCGAAUCUCAAAAA